GACAUCGAGUCCUGUCUGAGAGCACAGAGAGGAUGAGGAAGACCAUGAUGAAGACCCUGAACACGAGCGGGAGAACAUGUGCUGCUGUGUCUGCUCCAAACAUCUGUGUCUGUUCUCCGUGAGCACCACGACCUGGAAAACAUUUACACAUAUGAAGUGGACUGGUCAGCAGAAGGUUUCUGGAUCAAUCUCCAGCGGUGUGUCUUUACUCCCGAUGCUCUCUCUGCUCUGGAGUCACUGAGGAUGAAGAGACCACAGCAGCAUCCGGCUCAGAUGAAGCAGUAAGAGCUGGAGAGA